UACGUAGGGGGCUAGCGUUGUCCGGAAUCAUUGGGCGUAAAGCGCGUGUAGGCGGUCCGGUAAGUCCGCUGUGAAAGUCGAGGGCUCAACCCUCGAAUGCCGGUGGAUACUGUCGGGCUAGAGUACGGAAGAGGCGAGUGGAAUUCCUGGUGUAGCGGUGAAAUGCGCAGAUAUCAGGAAGAACACCCGUGGCGAAGGCGGCUCUCUGGAACGCAACUGACGCUGAGACGCGAAAGCGUGGGGAGCAAACAGG
rnacentral:rRNA from 1 species